ensembl:snRNA U6 U6 spliceosomal RNA
CUCCCUUUGGUGGGACGUUUGCUAAAAUUGGACCUAAACAGAGGAGACCUGCAUGACUCCUGCCCAAGGACGGCUCUCAGUUUUGUCAAGGGUUCUGUAUUAUG